CUGUAGCUAAGGACAGGAUUUUGUAUGUCCAAAAUCCAGCCACUCAAGGGACUGUCACUGUUUGUGUGAGCAGUAAAGGGAGAGGACAAUUUUUUGGCUGCUAAUGAGCGUGACCACAGCAUGCACUGAGAGAACCACCCCCAGUGCUGGUGUUCUGAGGUGCUUCUCUUUGGCCUUCAGCUGGAACGGGAGCUGUUGACAACCACUUCCAUGAGGUCUAUGAAAACACAACACUGGCUCUGCCCUUUGUGGGAUUAAUUCCGACUGAAACAGUGCCCUUGAGUGUUUGUCUCAGGUGCUGAAAAACGUCCUCAAGGUGGGAGCAGCCCCUGAGCAUCUGAAUUAUCAAACCUGAUGGAUAAGGGCACGUUUGGCUGUGUGCUUCUCCAUCCCAGUGCCCCCUUGACCACAUGCAUAUGGAGCACGAGGAGGAUGUCACAGGCUUUCCUGCAGCUUUGCAAUUCAUAACUGAGCAAAAAUGUUCCUCAUUUUCAUCUGCUGAGACACUUCAAGCCUCAGGACCAAUUUAUUGGUGCUCCUGAGCUGCUUGUUGUGGCACCAGCCUGGUGCAAAGUGCCACGACUCUCUGCUGGUGAAAUUUCUCCUCAUGUAAAGUUUUUGCAGCCGAUCCUGAGCUGUGCCCUGGCCUGAAGGAAGGAGAACCAUGCUGGAGGCUUGUCAAGGGAGUCGGGUGUUCAUGAUGCAGCACAAAACUGCUGCAUGGGAUUUUUCUCCUGGUAUAAGUCAUCUGGCUUUUGAUUAUAUUUGCUUGUGGUGGUUUUAUUUAUUUUUUAAAAUUAUUAUUAAGAAAAGCCCUCAUUAGUUAUUUUUUUUAAAUAUAAUCAAAUCUUGGGAGUCCUUUCCCUUUAAAAUUAAUAGAUUAAUCUUUCCCAUUCACUUCUACCCUGGCCAUCAUGGCCUUAAGUCUCAUUUUUAGGGAAGCUGUCUAUUUACCAAUGUCUUAUUUUGAAAGGAAGAAAACGUUUUUGCAAUCAUCUGCAGUCAAAACAUUUUGAGUGCUCUCUUUGCUUCUUGCUCUCUUAUUCUCCACCACUCUCUCACAAAAACCAUGUGAGUACAACAAACACAGGAAUGUGAUUUAUCCCUUUUAAUUUUUUAAUUUUUUUCAUGUUCUCUUAAAUUAAAUCUAAGCAGGUGACAAGGGGCCAACAUCUUCUCUAAAGAAUGUGAAUUAGGGUCAUUUCCAUUAUGGGACCUGAAAUGAAAAUUUAAUCCAUACCACGAGACACAAUCAUGUUCAGAUUCCUCUCUGGACUCAGCACUAUGAUUGAGUAGGAAAAAAUAUUUAAGUGGCUUAAAAAUAAUUCAAUUUUUUUGCUAGCUUUUUUUUUUUGAGGUAUGUUUUUUGGCUUACACUCCUUUCAUUUGCAACUUCAGUCUUAACCUCUCUCUACACUCAGAUGUCUGGGGUGUGCAGAAGGAGGAAUUGUUUGUAUUCAAGAAACAAUAGAUUUGUUUCCAAAUCUAUUCAAGGGAAGUAACAAAGGGAAUUAAACUGUGCAGGUGUGUUAGAAAAACAUUUGAAUUAAGUGUUUCCAUCUCAGCCUUACAAGGUGGAAGUUGGAGGAGCUGAGCAGAUGGGAGGUGUCUGGCUCAGAUGAUCACCUGCCACUGACUGCAUUGUUAAAUAAUGACUGCUAGAGAGUAUUUGUGAUAGAAAUCUGCACAGAGAAACUGGUGAGAGAAAUACUUGCUGUGCUUGUUACCUCAUCAGGAGGAACGAAAACCCAUAAAAUUGUUAGGGGAAGUCAUACAGUAAUUCAUCUGAUCACACAAACCACUGUUGCUUUCAAAAACACUUUUGUCCAGAAAACAGAUUCCGCCAUGGAUGGUUCAGUUCUAUCAGGGAUUUCUUUUCUCCUCUGUACAAUCAGGAACACUUUAAUUAUUUUUAUUGUUGAGGAAAACAAUACUUUUGCCUCAAAAAAGAACAAGAAAGGGCAAAUGAGACCAGACUAAGCCAAGGUGCAUUCCCACCCGAGCUCAGAGAGUGUUGGAGUGAAACUUUGUUGUGGAAGAGGCAGAUUUUUCCUUUCUGGAUACUGCCAAUAGUUUUGGUGUUUGGUUGCUGUUUUGCUGUUGUUGGUUUGAUUUUGUUUAAAAUCUUUACUUUUUGAGAUUAACUGAUUUUUGUGGCAUUUCCAAAUCAGUGUAGAUCCUGCACUCCCGUCCUAGAAAUAACUUUUCCCUCUGCAGAACAAGAGCAGCCAAGGCCAGCGCUGCAUUCAGGGCACGGGGCUGGCUCUGAGCAGGGCUGGGCACCAGCAAAAUGAACUUUUGUGCAGCAGAGGUGGGAGCUCACAAGGGGGGAAAGGCACGUGGUGUUCGCAGGACCAGUGGUUUUUAUUGCUCCAGUUCAUGGAGCCAUGAAAUCACACAUGAAAUUAGACUUGUAUUAAUUAAUGAUAUAUUUGUGUCAGAGGGAAGAUUGAAAUGUGCAGUAACACUCCAUAUUUCCUUUAUUCCCUCUCCCUUUUAAUCCCACCUGUUAUUCUCAGGCUUUUAGGUUUUAAUUCUACUUGGAGAUUUUGUUUGUUGGGUUUGUUGUUGUAAUGAUGACACUUUAAAAGUUUUUUGUUUUAUUUUGUUGAUUUGGGUUGGUUUGGGGUUUUUUAAGCCAUAUUUGUAUCUUUUGCACAAGGUUUAAAAAGGGAAGAAUGUAAAAAAUUAUUUCAUAAGGGAAUUUUUUAAACACUUUUUGUACCUUCAAAGGCAAUCAUAUUUGGCUCCUAUCAAGCUUUGGAGGCAGAUUCGCUCAUCCCUAAAGAGAUAUAAAGAGGAGGAUGGUGGAGUUAUAGCAAAAAUUCAGUUGAAAUGGUCUUACUAAUGCUACUCUGAAGUGUAACUAUUCAAUUAAAAGGAAAAAUAAUGAUGCUUUUAUUAAACAAAAGAACACCAGCAGAGAAUAUUACUAAAGCCCAAGGACAAGUGUAACUCUUCUACCAACAAUAAUGCAGAUUUUUUGCAUAUAUUAUGGAUUAUAUUCUCUUUUCAAUGCACAUGCAUUAGCAUUAAUGGGCAAAAAGAAGAUAGAUCCAUUUGCACUUCUGCCCAGUAUUAGCAGCAAAAUUCAUUACAUUCACACACUCUCUGACUCUUUUGAUUCCUUUUGAAAUAAAUCCAAAUAUUCAUCAUUCAAGGACUUAAGGGAAUAAAUUAUUUUCCAUUUCUAGAGUGUCCACAAAAAGAUCAAAAUUAUUUCAUUUGGUAUUAUAAUUUACUCCACAAACUUUGCAGUUUAUUUUUUCUCUAAUUCUGGGGGUUGUGGAAAGGGGUUACUGUAAAGUCAGUGCUGCAGAUGCUGCUUGGUAAGGAUUGGUUUUGCAAUAUUGUUUUUUUUUCUCUGCUUAAUUAUCCAGUGCAAGGAGAAUUGGAAUUAUUUUAUCACAUGUUGCAGUUCUCAGGGAGACAUCUGACAACAACCUUUGAGGGGGAAUUCCUUCUCUCCUUUGCAGCCAGAACAACGGGAGUUCAGUGUCCAAAAUCUCUUUAUGGAAUUGCUUGGGAAUCUCUGCAAUUAUCUGUGACCUUCAGGGCUAACAGUGAAAAAAAUUUUGCUGCCUCUUCCCUGUGAAAAACAUGGUUUGGGUUUUAGUUUUUAGUGAAACACCUGAGAAGGUUUUUUUUCUUUCUCCCAAACCAGGCAGGUGCAAUCACAGGGAUUUCCAAGGGUGGAGCUGUGGGUUUUCUCAGGAUGCUUUUAUCAGCUGCCUAAAAUCCUCUCCUUUACAGUUUUCCAUGGGAAUGUGGGAAUCAGUAGGAAUUGGCACAUUGCAGAUGCACUUUAAAUCUUUCCAGGUUUGAAGUCAGUGGGUGUCUUUCUACAGUUUGGGAUCCAUCUGUUACUAUAUCCAAUAAAGUCUGGGGGAGACAACUGCCUGGUAUGGGUUUGGUUUGCAGGGAAAGGCUUUGAGGUUAGAACAUUGGAGUUGCAGAGAUGAAAGUACCUGCAAAAAAAGGAAAUAUAAUGGAAGUUUAGAUUUUGGGCUAUUUAAUGUUAGAAAUGCUCAAAAUUAUUUGGACAUAAUAUUGCAGAUGUUCCUAAAAUGAGACACUUGACUGGAUUGGAUGGGCAAAUAUAAUGGGAUAGUGGAAAUGUAGAAUGGGAGGUUGGUUUUUUGGGGUUUCUUUCACAUAAUUGAGAGGUUUCUUCCUCUUUUUAAAAUAUCCACUGGCAGAACCAGGGAGAAUUCCCUGACUGGAGAUAGUGUAUGAAUAUGUACAUGUAUAAUCUAGAAAAAAUUCUUUCCAAAAGCAGCAAGUGGAAAAAAAGUGAAUAUUCUGUAAAAUUUAAUUGCUUUAUCAAGGUUUCAAUUUCUUUCUUAGCAAAAAUGUGUAAUUUUAAAGUGAUAUAGGCCUCAGGCAAUGAAUACUUACUGUCAACAAAUUAUGCAGGAUUCAUAUAUCAUAUUUUUUGAAGUUUUUGCCAUUCAAUACAAAUCUUUUUGUUCCUAUGGCAACCUUGAUGCGAUCUGAAAUGUACACAGCAUUAGAUACAAAGGGUUGAAUUCAGGCCUGCUGUCUCUCCUGGAAUGAAAGCACCUUCUUAUGCAAUGAGAUUAUUCCAAAGCAGAGCGACCAACCAGUGAAAUAAAGUCAACCCACUCAAUUUUUGGCACAUUUUUCACAGCGACACUCAGACUGGAGUAGGAAAGGAGGACCAUGCACCCAGGCUGACCUUUCUUUGUGCCUCAGAUGAGGAGCCAGGGUUGUCCUGGUCAUGUGGAAGUGAUGAGAGUGUCCUGAAAGGAGAAGUGGCGCUUUGUUCCCAGAUCUCUCCAGACCUCUUGCAUGUCACCAUGUGUAGGUUGUGCUCUCUCAAGGCUCAUCAAAAAUGCAAAAUUACUGAAUGCCUUGUCUUGAACUCAGGGGCAAGUCCAGGGCUAGAUUACAGGAUUGCCUGCACUGCCCUUUCCAUACAUCACAAGCUUUUAAUCAGUGGAUGUAUUGCUGCCAUUACCACACCUAAAUACCAGAGGCAAUGUUUUCCUUGCAGAGCAAGGUUUAGCACUAAGCUUGUGCCUCCCUCUAAUACAGAUACUAAAUGAUUCAUGUUCCAAAUUUGCUGUUAGGAGGGGGAACAUCAUAACGUCCUUAAGUCCUUAUUAACUGGUUUUACUUUCUUUAAAAUGCAUUUUGUUAAGCAAGCGAAACAUAAAAACUUCACAUACUCCAUGAUUGAUGACCUUUCUCACAGAGCCUGUGAACAGGAACAACUGAAGAAUAUUGGAGCAAUUAAGAAGUUUCUGCACAGGCUGCACACUUAUCAAAAUGACUCAGACAGGCAUUCAGCUGGAUCAUUGCCCCUCAUGCCUUACCUGCUGUCAAAUCAGCUCUAACAGCACCCACAAAGGCUAUUUUAGGCACAUCAUCAAAAUGCCACCAUGAACUUUGAGUAGCAAUUAUAGGCAUAGAAUACAUUGGCCUUGCAGUGAUUUAAGAGGAGCUCCUCAAUAGCAUCUGUCCAGACACUAAUCUCUUACCAUGUACUACUUUCCUCACCUUACAGGUAUCAGCUCUUAGGGAAGUAUUCACAUUUUCCCAGACAAAACCCAGAGUUUCACAUGUAAAAAGCUCAACUAAUCCUGGUGGCACCAGAGCACUUGUGUGGAGUGUCUCCCUUUGAAAUGCCAGUUACUAUUGCAGGAAGUUCAAGGGAAUGGAAAGAAAUUUAGGCCAGAUGGCACUGCAGGGAUGUCUAUUGGAUAUUAAUGUCUGCUGUUCUGGAAUUGUUUUUUAAACAUCUUUUUUAGGGCUACAAGAAAGGAAGAGAAUUUCAAUGGGCUUUGAGUCAGGCUCUUCUGCUGCUGCUGGCAUUGUCUUCUGAAGUGCCUUUCUUGUGUUUACUGUAGUUUUGUGAUGCAGUGAGGAAUUUAUCUUGAUUAUAGAGCUAUUCAAAAAGCAUUGGUUCUAAUACUUAUAAACCUUAAAAUCCUAGAAUAGUUGACUGGAAUGAACCUCUGGAAGUCACCUGGUUGAGACCCCACUUGGACCAGGACCAGCCUAGAUCAGGCUGCUCAGGGCCUUGACCAUGAAGUUUUGAAUAUGCUGGGAUUAAUAUUCUUUCAAGUGAAAUCUCAGCAUGUCUGUGCCAAACCUGACCUCUAGCUUAAGCAGAUCAUGGUCUCCAGUCAUGGACAACCACUUGGCUUCAGAUACCUAAAGUCUUUUAAAGUUAAAUUUUCUGUGUGUCUGCAAUAAACAUGGAACUUUGGGGUUUUUUUUUCCUUCUGGUUUGUUUGUUUCUCUGGGGUUUUUGUGUUUUCAUUUUUGAUGGUUUUAUUUCUGAGAAAAAAAGAAAGAUUUCUAGUGGACUGGCAAGGUAAGAUAAAUUACUAUAAAUUGAGAUUUGAAGAAAAAAAAAUUCAAGGGUACAGAGUGUUUCAGCCUGCAAAGAAGUCAAUGGUUUGUAUUAAGUAUAAAACGGUUUCCAGAAAGUGGGAUGUCAUGAAAUAGAUGCCAGUAAUGUAUUUUUAAAUUUGUCUGGGCUUUCUUUUCCUUCUUUUUGUCCAUUUCUAACACUCUUCCUUUCUUUUGAAAUAAUUUCAUGGUUCCUCCUAAAACUGCCCAAAUUGAUUCAUUAUAUUUGAGUGGAUUUUAAAACAGGCAAAAUGACCAAUCUGCUUUUCAUAAAGAAAAACAGGACUUUCAGUUUCCUUGUGGCCUUUAAAUCCUUUCCCCCAGCUGAAGUCUCAUUGCAGUUUAUGAAGGAAUAUUCUCUGAGCGCAGAUGAAAGCCUGAAGUGUCAGAAGGGAAAAUAAACUCUUGGCCAUGGAAAGCAAAGUCCAGGAACAUCUUGGCUGUGAAAUUAGAGCAGAUUGAGGAGGUGAUCAUGGAUCUCCUCAUUUCUCCAGUCACACAGGAAAACCAGAAGAACGAAGAGGGACAGUUUUGUAGAAAGAACAGCAAAUGCCAAUUUGAGGCCAAAGCCAGGGCUUGCACUCCUCAGUAGCUCUGUGGGCUGAAGGUGAAACAGCUUUAUCUGCUAAAAGAGGGAGCUUGCUUUCCACCAGAGACAGGCUGCUUCUUUGCUGAAUGCAUACAAUAUAAAUCAAAGUAUGUGCCAUUAUUAAUAAAUAAGGUGUUGGGUAGGCUUUGUCUGGAAGUCUGGUUGAAAGAACUGAUUAUGAUCCAAUAACUUUUGAAAAAUGCAUCGUUGCCUUUGGGAUAUUGGAGCAUGGAAUAAUUAAACUGCAAGUUUGCAGAAGCAGGGUUGUAACCACAGAGAGGGACUGUUUUCAGGAGCUGAUUCACUUGUAGGGUUAAAUAUCUUUUUUCCUGAUUUAUUGAUAAAUAUCCCACUUGUGCAUAUCAUAACACAAAAGAAAUUAUUGAAUGUUUUCAGUAGAUACAUUUCCAAACUGUGCUGGUUAUUGAAAAUCAAUUGUGAUUGAACCUGCACUUGGGGAUUGUGGUGCUGAUAUUUAGAAUUUUAGGACUAUUAUGGGCCAAAUAGGAAAUGACUUGACUGCUAUUGAAAGGAAAUUUUGUGCAGCAAUGCUAAAUUCAGAUGCAGCAUGUAUUGUUUUAUUGGAAUUAAGCAUAUCUCAGUUCUCUUGAACUUCAAUUAUUGCACGGAAAGUAUAGCUGAUUACAAACAGGAAAGUUAUUUCUUCUGGCUGCUUGGUCUGGCUGUUACUGGGAAAGAUUGGAGAAAAUCUGCUUCUCUGUCUAUGAAACCUUCAGGUCCUGCUUGGAUGCUUCCUCUGUCACCAGAGAAAAGAAAUCUGGUCCCUGAUCCUCUUUCUUUUGCAGGAUCAAUCACAUGCAGCUGUGGAAGUCACAGGAGAGGGAGUCUCAUGUUUUAUCCAAAUUCUUUUCCAAUCCCAUUAUUUCAAUCACAUCAUUGUGCUUCUGUUUAUGUACAAAACAUUUCCUGGGGACUGCAUGGGCUGAGGAUAAGGUUUCCAGAGGUGUCACUUGAACAAUCUUCAAAAUCUACAGGGAGAAGCUCUGCCCAGUCCCUGUGUGAUGUGAUUAAUAAUCCCAGUGCAUCUUAAUCCAUCACAACUUUGAGAGAGUGCAUUACUGUGCCUGAGAAACAGAUAAUGCUGCUGUAGGACAAGGGAGGAUUUAACACUCAGCAGCAGUGAUAAGAGGAAAAACAGUAUAAAAGUGCAGAAUAAAACAGUUUUCUGUCACAGCAUUAAGCUGGAA